CACGUAGGGCGCAAGCGUUGUCCGGAAUUAUUGGGCGUAAAGAGCUCGUAGGCGGUCUGUCGCGUCUGCUGUGAAAACUCAGGGCUUAACCCUGAGCUUGCAGUGGGUACGGGCAGACUAGAGUGCGGUAGGGGGAGAUUGGAAUUCCUGGUGUAGCGGUGGAAUGCGCAGAUAUCAGGAGGAACACCGAUGGCGAAGGCAGAUCUCUGGGCCGUAACUGACGCUGAGGAGCGAAAGCGUGGGGAGCGAACAGG
rnacentral:rRNA from 1 species